GAAGAAAGAAGAAAAUUCGUGUGCAAUAUCUUGAAUCAUUAUGGCCAAUAUGAGACUUAUCCUAUGUAAGAUUAACUACAACAUUUUUUUGUUACAAAAUUAACAAGUUUUAUUGGCUAAUAUUCAUGGCGGAGGUAUCCGAACUGACAUCGGCUAUAUGAAAAGAAGCAUCCUCGGCGGGCAUGUCAUCCUCAUCGGUGUAUAAACGACGCAAACGCUCCUUAUAUCUGCAAUUGAAAUGUGAUCUCUGUAUAUAUGAAAUGUGAAAAAUGCAGAUAAUGUUACUAACA